UACGAAGGGGGCUAGCGUUGCUCGGAAUCACUGGGCGUAAAGGGUGCGUAGGCGGGUCUUUAAGUCAGGGGUGAAAUCCUGGAGCUCAACUCCAGAACUGCCUUUGAUACUGAGAAGCUUGAGUUCGGGAGAGGUGAGUGGAACUGCGAGUGUAGAGGUGAAAUUCGUAGAUAUUCGCAAGAACACCAGUGGCGAAGGCGGCUCACUGGCCUGAUACUGACGCUGAGGUGCGAAAGCGUGGGGAGCAAACAGG
rnacentral:rRNA from 1 species